GAACCCGCUGGACAUACGCGUUAUAUAAAACUGUUUCUCGACCCUUCCGCGGACCGCGCCAUUCCGGUAUGACGCUUGUUGGUGUAAAGAGCUCCGACAAAAAUGACUGGAUGCAGUGUAUUCGGCUGUAAAAAAAGGUCUGACACAUCGAGUGUACAAAAAGACAACGUGACAUUUCAUCUAUUUCCAAAAGACCCUAUCCGUCGACAACAAUGGAUAAAAGCUUGUGAAAAUCACAGAACAUGGCUACCCAAACGUACAAGUAAAGUUUGCUCCGAUCAUUUUGAUACGUCAUGUUUCUUGUUGCUGGCUAACAACAAAAGAAAAUUAAAGGAAUCAGCAACAC